rnacentral:rRNA from 1 species
AGAACGAACGCUGGCGGCAUGCCUAAUACAUGCAAGUCGAACGAACUCCUCGGAGUUAGUGGCGCACGGGUGCGUAACGCGUGGGAAUCUGCCCCUUGGUUCGGAAUAACAGUUGGAAACGACUGCUAAUACCGGAUGAUGACGAAAGUCCAAAGAUUUAUCGCCAAGGGAUGAGCCCGCGUAGGAUUAGCUAGUUGGUGAGGUAAAGGCUCACCAAGGCAACGAUCCUUAGCUGGUCUGAGAGGAUGAUCAGCCACACUGGACUGAGACACGGCCCAGACUCCGUACGGGAGGCAGCAGUAGGGAAUAUGGACAAUGGGCGAAAGCCUGAUCAGCAAUGCGCGUGAGUGAUGAGCUUAGGUGUAAGCUCUUUACCGAGAUGAUAAUAGACAGUAAGUACGGGAGAAAGUAACGGACCCCGUACGUAACC